CUCAAAAUACGAUGUUCCAGAUAAUGUCAAUGUGUACAUGAAGCCUACAUGUACAUGUAAGUUUGCUUAACCUCUCUUGUAUUUCUUUGUUAUACAGGUGUAUUAGUGUCUGUGUAUUUAGUGUACAGGUGUAGUAAUGUUUGUGUAUUUAGUGUACAGGUGUAGUAGUGUCUGUAUUUAGUGUACAGGUGUAGUAAUGUUUGUGUAUUUAGUGUACAGGUGUAGUAGUGUCUGUAUUUAGUGUACAGGUGUAGUAGUGUCUGUAUUUAGUGUACAGGUGUAUACGUAGUAGUGUCUGUAUUUAGUGUACAGGUGUAGUAGUGUCUGUGUAUUUAGUGUACAGGUGUAGUAAUGUCUGUAUUUAGUGUACAGGUGUAGUAGUGUCUGUAUUUAGUGUACAGGUGUAGUAAUGUCUGUAUUUAGUGUACAGGUGUAGUAGUGUCUGUAUUUAGUGUAUAGGUGUAGUAGUGUCUGUAUUUAGUGUACAGGUGUAGUAGUGUCUGUGUAUUUAGUGUACAGGUGUAGUAAUGUCUGUAUUUAGUGUACAGGUGUAGUAGUGUCUGUAUUUAGUGUACAGGUGUAGUAAUGUCUGUAUUUAGUGUACAGGUGUAGUAGUGUCUGUGUAUUUAGUGUACAGGUGUAGUAGUGUCUGUAUUUAGUGUACAGGUGUAGUAAUGUCUGUAUUUAGUGUACAGGUGUAGUAGUGUCUGUGUAUUUAGUGUACAGGUGUAGUAGUGUCUGUAUUUAGUGUACAGGUGUAGUAAUGUCUGUAUUUAGUGUACAGGUGUAGUAGUGUCUGUAUUUAGUGUACAGGUGUAGUAAUGUCUGUAUUUAGUGUACAGGUGUAGUAAUGUCUGUGUAUUUAGUGUACAGGUGUAGUAGUGUCUGUGUAUUUAGUGUACAGGUGUAGUAAUGUCUGUAUUUAGUGUACAGGUGUAGUAGUGUCUGUAUUUAGUGUACAGGUGUAGUAAUGUCUGUAUUUAGUGUACAGGUGUAGUAAUGUCUGUAUUUAGUGUACAGGUGUAGUAAUGUCUGUAUUUA